UACGAGGGGUGCAAGCGUUGCUCGGAAUUAUUGGGCGUAAAGGGUAGGUAGGUGGUCUCAUUUGUCUGGGGUGAAAGCCUUGAGCUUAACUCAAGAAGUGCCCCGGAAACGGUGAGACUGGAGUCCCGGAGAGGGUCGUGGAAUUCCCGGUGUAGCGGUGAAAUGCGUAGAGAUCGGGAGGAACACCAGAGGCGAAGGCGGCGACCUGGACGGGCACUGACACUCAACUACGAAAGCGUGGGGAGCAAACAGG
rnacentral:rRNA from 1 species